GUGUCAGCAGCCGCGGUAAUACAGAGGGUGCAAGCGUUGUUCGGAAUUAUUGGGCGUAAAGCGCGUGUAGGCGGUGGUGCAUGUCGGGUGUGAAAGCCCUCGGCUUAACCGAGGAAGUGCGCCCGAAACUGCAUCGCUGGAGUGCCGGAGAGGGUGGCGGAAUUCCCGGUGUAGAGGUGAAAUUCGUAGAUAUCGGGAGGAACACCAGUGGCGAAGGCGGCCACCUGGACGGACACUGACGCUGAGACGCGAAAGCGUGGGUAGCAAACAGGAUUAGAUACCCUGGUAGUCCACGCCGUAAACGAUGGGAACUAGGUGUGGCGGGUUUUGACCCCUGCCGUGCCGAAGCUAACGCAUUAAGUUCCCCGCCUGGGAAGUACGGUCGCAAGACUAAA
rnacentral:rRNA from 1 species